rnacentral:rRNA from 1 species
UGCCAUGGCCAAGUGCUGUUUCAUAAGACUGAACGGGUGUCCGUUGCAAGGGGCUCCGAUGAGCUGUGGCAAGGGGUGAAAGGCCAAUCUAACCUGGAGAUUAGCUGGUCUUCCGCGAAACCCGUUUUAGCGGGUCGCCCAUCAUUGUAACUAUCUAACGAAACCCGAUUCGUUAACCGACCUUACCUUUGGCCUUCCCUUUUGUCGCCCCACACGGUACUACGUACCUACGGGGUCUGAAAAAAGGCAAAGGAAGUUCAAGUUAAUUCGUUACUAGACGGUACGGCACUGGAAGCCACGCAGCUUUGCUGCAUAAUCGGGGGGCUGUCAUGGCUCUAUCGAUGGCUUCUAACCCCGGAAAUGUAUAGUAUACAAAGGUGGGCAAUCAGACGUAUCGUGAUAAGGCGAUUCGUCAAAAGGGCAACAGCCCAGAACAGGCGCUAAGGUCCCUAAUAACUACUGAGUGAACACAAGGCAGUCCUCUCCAGUGUCUCUCCACCAAGUGGGCUUGGAAGCAGCCACCUUUUAGCGAAAGCGUAACAGCUCAGUGGUCUGAGCUCCCCUGCCAUUUCGGCAUUUCUCUUCUAGCCCCUCCCCCCCCCUCGGCCUUGGACCCAGGCCAAAGUACCAGGUAAUCAGAGGUAUACUUCAUGGGAAAAAGGUUCGGGAAAGAGCUCUACGGAAAGCCCUGAGCCUUGGCCCAGACGCCGCCUCCGGCCCAAGGACGGGGCGCCCUUGGGCCGAGGGGGGCGGCAAACGUCGAGCUUAGCAGGAACUACAGCGGAACGGAGCAGGGGGAGACGUCUGGAAAAGUACAGCCAACCGUACCCUAAACCGACACUGGUCUGCUGGUAGAGCAUACCAAGGCGUAGAGGUAAUCGUCUUGA